rnacentral:rRNA from 1 species
AUUGAACGCUGGCGGCAUGCCUUACACAUGCAAGUCGAACGGCAGCACGGGAGCAAUCCUGGUGGCGAGUGGCGAACGGGUGAGUAAAGUAUCGGAACGUGCCCAGUCGUGGGGGAUAACGUAGCGAAAGUUACGCUAAUACCGCAUACGAUCUAUGAAUGAAAGCGGGGGAUCGCAAGACCUCGCGCGAUUGGAGCGGCCGAGAUCAGAUUAGGUAGUUGGUGGGGUAAAGGCUCACCAAGCCGACGAUCUGUAGCUGGUCUAAGAGGGCGACCAGCCACACUGGGACUGAGACACGGCCCAGACUCCUACGGGAGGCAGCAGUGGGGAAUUUUGGACAAUGGGCGAAAGCCUGAUCCAGCCAUGCCGCGUGCAGGAUGAAGGCCUUCGGGUUGUAAACUGCUUUUGUACGGAACGAAAAGGUUUGGCCUAAUAAGCUGAGCUCAUGACGGUACCGUAAGAAUAAGCACCGGCUAACUACGUGCCAGCAGCCGCCGCCG